AGCCGCAAUACGUGCUAAGGUAGCAUAAUAAUUUGUCUAUUAAAUGUAGACUCGAACAAAAGAUUUAACAUUUCAAAAAAUUUCUUUAAUUUAAAAUUUAAAUUUUUCCUAAGUGUAAAAAGACACUUAUUUAAAAAAAAGACGACAAGACCCUAUUGAACUUAACUUAAGUUAAACUGGGGCAGUAAAUUAAUUAUUAUUUUAAUAUAUAUUUCUAUAAAUAAAAUCUAUUUAAAAUAAUUAAUCAAGUUACCAUAGGGAUAACAGUGUAAUAAUAUUUAAGAGACCUUAUCUAAAAAAUAGAUUACAACCUCGAUGUUGAAUUAAUAACCUAAUCCAAGCAAAAUUCUAAUAAGGAGGCCUGUUCGGCCUUUAAAAAAUUACAUGAUUUGAGUUCAAACCGGUGUAAGCCAGGUUGGUUUCUAUCUUUUAAAAAAUUAUUUACAGUACGAAAGGACCUAUUUAUAUUUAAAGAAUAUGGCAGAAUAUUGCAUUAGAAUUAGAAUCUAAUUAAAAAAAA
rnacentral:rRNA from 1 species